rnacentral:rRNA from 1 species
AUGUCGGCUCGCCCUAUCCUGGGACUGAAGAAGGCCCCAAGGGUUUGGCUGUUCGCCAAUUAAAAGGGUACGCGAGCUGGGU